CGUUCGGGCGCGCUCGGGUUAACCGAGCAAGGCGGGAAGAUCCGAGUCGCUCGGACCCGUGAAAAAAAAAGUGAAGUUCGUGCGGGUUCGGAUUCAAAGAAACCGAACCCGCUCAUCUCUACUUAUAAAGACAGCAAAAAGCCCAAAGUAUUUUUUUUUACAUCAGAAACAAGAACAGGAGGGGCAAAUCAGCAAGGAGGGGAGGUACAGUCAGAUGAGAAAGAGGGGGAGGAAGGGAUUUGUGUGGAGUGGAAGGUGAGCUUGUCAUCACUCCCAAAAUAACCCAAGGUGAGAGAGAUGAAAGGGCCGAGGAAUAUCGCUUGCCUCAAGCCUCAGCCUAACUUGUUAGAGAGCAGUUCAUGCCUGGUACAAGUCAGUUUAGCCAGCUCAAGACAGAGAAAUAUACAGGAGGUACAGGAGAAAAGGGUCCAGAGGGUGAUGGUAGUUGACACACCAGCAACCCCCAGAGGGGUAAGUUUAGGGGGAGGAACAAUUGGGAGUCCAGAAAUGUGAAGUGCUACAAUUGUGUGAAACAGGGCCACAUUGCAAGAAAUUGUCCAGCUCCAAAAAGGGGGGCAGGAUAGCGCCUGACAGGGAGGGCUUCCAGUGUUACCAGUCAUCUUGGUGUUAUGAGCCACAGCAGUGGUUCAUUCCUGUUUGCAUUCGGUUCAUGUAUUGUAUGUUAUAUUUCUGUUUGCAUGUCAGGAUUUCUUAUGUACUUUAGAGUGCUAUACUUUUGGUUACUAAUCUGGUAACUACAGUGACAUAUUUUGUGGGUCUUCCCACUAGCUGCAUUCGGUUCAUGUAUUUUAGGAUAUAUUUCUGUUUGCAUGCCAGGAUUUCUUAUGUACUUAUUUAGAGUGCUAUACUUUUGUUUACUAGCCUGGUAACUACAGUGUCAUAUUUUGUGGGUCUUCCCACUAGCCUUAGUUUUGUGUUUUUGUACUGGCGGCAGCGCCGCACAUAACUUGUUUGUUUAGUUCUCAUGUUAUAGUCACCUUAGCUGUAGCUAGUUUUCCCCUCACUCGCAGUCUCAGGUGGUGCCUUGUAACCUUGUAAGACUGGAGGGCAUCGGAGUUUGGGCGAACCUAAUUCGCCCAUUCAAACGCGGCUGCCUUGGGCAGAAGACUAGCACCUCAGGCACCAUCCGACCACUGGGAGGAGUAAUGGUUAUAGGGUUAGAAAAGGUCUUGCUGCGGCCAUUCAUACUGACCGCAGCUUCACUCAUGAGUACUGGAAUUCCCCAGUUGUCACACAUUCCACAGAGUUCCAGGGUCUCAAUUUGUAACAUUGUACUUGUUUCCUAACACUCGGAGAGUAGGGGGGGUGAUGCCUUUGUCCACUUGACCCUCUCUGAAAUGCCUUUUUACUCAGUGGAGUAUCUGGUGGACAGUGGAGCAGCCCGUGUUCUCAAGAGAGAGAGUAUGUCAAUGGAUACUCUAAUUACCCUGCAAAAUCAGGCAGGUCCCCAAACACUUGGUAAAUGGGGGAAGGCAGGUUGCAAAUAAAUAAAUAUUGUUUGGAAACAUGAGGAUGGUCGAUUGAGUGCACAUCUCCCUUCAUAUGUUUCCAAAGGGGGAAUGAUUGCUAUGAUUGCUAUAUUUUGGUUUGCACAGUGUUUGAAAUACUUUAUAACAGAAUGGUUAUGUUCUCCUUGUAGAUAGAGGCGUGGCCUGUUGCCAAGGUAACGGCUGCAGUAACAGCAAAGAAAUUGAUAUCUGAAUUUGUGUGCAGGUAUGGCCUACAUGAAACGGUUGAGAGAGCAAAUAGCGUAUUAAAAAUGUCUAAGAUCUGUGAGCAAACAAAACUUACAUGGGUACAAGCUUUACUAGUAGAUCCUUUUGCAAUGAGGUAUACCACAAAGGGAUAACAUGGACUUUCAUCAUUUGAGAUACUGUUUGGCAGGCUGCCACUCAAAGUACGCUUCUCUUACUGACUACGUUGUUCAGCUUCAUAAGCCACUGACUAAUUUGCAUGGCAAAGUGUUUUCUUCUUUACCAGAUCCACAAGACACAUCUGGAACCCCGAUUUGAUGGCCCAUACCAGGUGCUAUUGACCACAGUGACCUCCGUCAAGGUGGAGAGGAAAGUAUGCUUUGCACUGUAAGAAAAUUAACUUUCAGGUCAAUGAUGCAAACUGGUCCUAAAAGCAUGGGCCCCCCGGGGAGAAGAGAACUGAAUGGACUGUUAAGAUACGCUUGUUUUUCUGCCUGCUUGUUUGUGCUUUAUAUCAGUGUGUGCAGGUGAAAGGAGAACAGCAAAAGAACUCUAUAUGGCUUCUACAUCAGCAGACCGCUAAGGAGCUGAACGCCACUGACUGUUGGAUCUGUUCUUAUGUUCCUGCUAACCAUAAAGGAAUCCCUUUGAUUGGUAUCCCUAUCUCGAUGAAUGAUCUUAACCUCACAGAUUAUAGCUAUAAUGUUGAAAUAGACAUAAAUCACACUGCUCACAAUGCUCUUUCAGACCUAGGAAUAUAUUUAGAAAUUGCUGGUAUAAUCUCUCCGCCCACUAUGUGCAUAGGGCCUAUGUUUAUUAACCACGUGGCCGAACUAAAAGGUCACCUAGUCAACUUACCUAAGGUAUAUGUUGGAGAAACAAAUUGUAAAAAUGCUGCCUUAGUGUUUAACAUGGAAUACAAUGAAAAGUUAUGUGACAAGGUGAACUGUAACUGUAACAAUCAAUGUUGGUGUGCAAAUAUGAAAGCUCUUUGUGCCCCUAGGUGUGCCUCUCCUAACCAGACGGAUGAGGAUGAUUGGGAUUGUAAGACCCAAGUGCACAAUAAUAUGGAAAAAUGUGGAUUCGCUCGCCUAAUAGGAAGAAUGAUAACAGCCACAGAGAUGACCGUCUGAUGGCCCAGCCCAACUGCCCAUCUCUUCUGAGAGACCCCUCAGUUGUUGUAAGAGUUGGGUGGAAGACAUCAUCUCUGAAAGAGGGUCCCGCAGGUGCACUUCGACAGUUUGGACACCACCCCAGAGGGAGUUUAUCCCGAGAAGUGAUUUCGACGAGUCAGUCAUUCCGAUUCCAGCGAAUUCACCGAGUGGUCUCUGUGCCCUAGUGCACCUCCGGCUGCUGUUAUUAUUCUUACAGCUAGAUAGAUAGGGGUGUGAAUGCUUCAAUAAAGGUGUGUGAAUGCUUAGCAGAAUAGCAACCGCGAGGCAGUACUUAGUCAGUUCUUCCUCUUGCGUACAUCCUGUCUCAAUUGGUACUUUGUCACAUAAUAAAACCUGGGGGCAUCAGAGUACUGGGUGGACCUAAUUCGCCCGGGAAAAGCGGCUGCUAAAGGACAAGACUUUGACAUGCAGGUACCAAUUGACUGCGGGGUGUGGCAACAGAGUCAGGGUAGGCCCAGGUGCGUCUGUGGCUAUAUCAUCCCCAGUCACAGUCACACCACCUUCUUAGCAUUAGUAGUACUGCCAUUGUUACCUUUUAGUUUAUGUUUUUAUAUAUGUGUGAUAAUAAAAUUAUCAAAAGGGUGAGAAUUGUUAAGGAAAUUUAAGCAAUGUAUAGAAUCUAUUCUGACUUUUUAAUAUCAUGUAAUACUAACAGACAUUAUUAUGUAAGAUGUUUUGCUGACAAAGAAUGUAGGUACGUGACAAGAACUUGCUAAGUCACCCUAGUCUUGCUGAUUUGUGUCAUGUGCCCACCCAGGACCAGAUGGUGUUCGAUAAGGAGGAAUGGGCCUCAAGGCCUGCUGUGAUUGGUCCAAGCUUGGGUGGAGUAAUUCUUUGUAAAAUGCAAUAUUAGGGGCCAUCUAUGCCAUGUUCGAGAGGCAGAUGGAGCUCCCUUGUAAUUACUUAUAAGUGCAUGCUGACUGUCACUUUAUUGUAAUCUUGCUCUGCCAUUAUCAAUAUAAACUUUAAAAUUUGGCUACAA